GGGAAGGUAGCUCAGUGGUAGAGCUCUUGCCUCGCAUGCAUGACACCCUGGGUUCAAUUCCUCAGCACCA
rfam:Dipodomys ordii contig_42085, whole genome shotgun sequence.